rnacentral:rRNA from 1 species
UACGUAGGGUGCAAGCGUUGUCCGGAAUUAUUGGGCGUAAAGAGCUCGUAGGCGGUUUGUCGCGUCUGCUGUGAAAACCCGAGGCUCAACCUCGGGCCUGCAGUGGGUACGGGCAGACUAGAGUGCGGUAGGGGGAGACUGGAAUUCCUGGUGUAGCGGUGAAAUGCGCAGAUAUCAGGAGGAACACCGGUGGCGAAGGCGGGUCUCUGGGCCGUAACUGACG